GCUUUGAUAAGUUUUCGGGGUUUUAUCUUUGCAUGAUACAAAUACGUUGCUGUUAAUGGUCUUCCAGUUAAUAAUGAAUCGGGAUUUUAAUGUGAGUAGAGGAGUUAUUUUGUGUAUCAGCGAACGAGUUAGUCUUUCACCAAAUUUGCCAAGAUAUCGUAGCUGUAACCAGAUAUUAGGAGCUUUGUUUGUUUCAGUCAUUGUGGCUUCGUUGUCGUUGUCAUUGGAUACAGUGGGGACGGUAUAAAUUGGUUACUAAGUUUUGAGGUUAAUUUGCGAGGGAAACCAUUCCAAGAUAUGAAAUUUUGGAUUUGUUUUAACUCGUUGUUCAGGAGAGUGGCAUUACUGCAGAUUUUGUAGGCGCGAUUUACGAGAGCACGGAUCCAAGCAAUUUUUCUUGACCAGGGUGUGAAGCUUGAUUGAUAUGUGGGAGUAUUGACCAGUAUGAGUCGGCUUUGUAUAGACAGAAGUUCCAGAGGGAUGGAUGUGGAUGUCAAGGAAUUGGAUGUCAUUGUCGCUGAAUUCAUCAACGGUAAAUUGUUACAAAACUAUUAUAGGAUUGAAAGAGUUAAACUUAGUGAGAAUUAGUUGUA